GUGGGGAAUAUUGGACAAUGGGCGAAAGCCUGAUCCAGCAAUGCCGCGUGAGUGAUGAAGGCCUUAGGGUUGUAAAGCUCUUUUACCAGGGAUGAUAAUGACAGUACCUGGAGAAUAAGCUCCGGCUAACUCCGUGCCAGCAGCCGCGGUAAUACGGAGGGAGCUAGCGUUGUUCGGAAUUACUGGGCGUAAAGCGCGCGUAGGCGGUUUAUCAAGUCAGGGGUGAAAUCCCGGGGCUCAACCCCGGAACUGCCCUUGAAACUGGUUCACUAGAAUCCUGGAGAGGCGAGUGGAAUUCCGAGUGUAGAGGUGAAAUUCGUAGAUAUUCGGAAGAACACCAGUGGCGAAGGCGACUCGCUGGACAGGUAUUGACGCUGAGGUGCGAAAGCGUGGGGAGCAAACAGGAUUAGAAACCCCGGUAGUCC
rnacentral:rRNA from 1 species